UUAAUUAAAAGUCCUAAACUCUGG
rnacentral:piRNA from 1 species